AAGUCAAUAAAACAAAAGAAUUGUUUUGUUUGAUCUACAAGUCUUUAUUAGCUGCAAUUCAUUUCGCGAAAAGAAAUCAAACAAACAAAUAUAUAAAGAAAAGAAAAGUCCCCAAUUCUUGGGUUUCAAGUUUUUUGAGUAGCUGUUUCACCAAAUCAAUUCAAAGAACCCUUCAAAACUGAAUAUCUUUUCGCUAUGACUUGAAAAACUAAACAAAAAAAUACGUUCUUGAUUUCAUUUCCCAGCUUUUUUUUUAGAGAGAGAGAGAGAGAGAGAGAGUAUAGCAUCAAAUCAAAUGGCAGCAUCAUCACUUGGCCAGACCGAGAUCAACUGGGACAAGCUCGAUAAGUCUAAGUUUUAUGUUGUGGGAGCGGGAAUAUUUACUGGGCUUACAGUUGGUUUAUACCCAGUGUCUGUUAUAAAAACUAGACUUCAGGUUGCUACGAGGGAUAGUGUUGAGAAAAGUGCAUCUUCUGUUAUUAGAGGCAUACUGAAAACAGAUGGGGUUCCUGGUCUCUACAGAGGGUUUGGUACUGUCAUCACUGGUGCAGUUCCUGCUAGGAUUAUUUUUCUUACUGCAUUGGAGACCACGAAAGUGACUGCUUUCAAGAUGGUUGAGCCAUUUAAUUUCUCUGAACCAACACAAGCAGCCUUAGCAAAUGGUAUUGCUGGCAUGGCAGCGUCUCUUUGUUCUCAAGCUGUCUUUGUUCCCAUUGAUUUGAUUAGCCAAAGGUUGAUGGUACAAGGAUAUUCUGGCCAUGAGAAGUAUAAUGGGGGUCUGGAUGUUGCACGCAAGAUUAUAAGGACUGAUGGCAUCAGAGGAUUUUACAGAGGGUUUGGUCUGUCAAUCAUGACUUAUUCACCAUCUAGUGCUGUAUGGUGGGCGAGUUAUGGCUCAAGCCAACGCAUCAUCUGGAGGCUUUUAGGCCAGGGUACUGAUCGUGAGGAAGCUGCUCCUAGCAAGUCAACUAUAAUACUAGUUCAGGCAACUGGAGGAAUUAUUGCGGGAGCUACAGCUUCCUGCAUCACAACCCCAUUAGAUACAAUUAAGACUCGUUUACAGGUGAUGGGACAUGAAAGAAGAAGCUCUGCAAGACAAAUUGUUACAAACUUGAUUAAGGAUGAUGGUUGGACAGGCUUCUACAGAGGGUUGGGUCCCAGAUUUGUCAGCAUGUCAGCAUGGGGAACCACAAUGAUAUUGGCCUAUGAAUAUUUGAAGCGGCUGUGUGUAAAGGAUGAAUAGAUGUGAACCUGCUGUUACUCAAUGUAGAGAUUUGGGUCUGAAGCUGGCUCCAUCAAGUUAUCUUUGGAACUGGUUGUUUUACACAUGCAGAAGAGUUUUUCUUGUAUUCAUAACCCUGAUACAGCAUUGUUGGUCUUUAGCAUUAUCAUACUAUUGAGGAGCCAACCUCAUGGCUAUUGAAUCUGGAUUAGUUACGAUAUUUUGAAGACUUUUUAAUCCAUCUGAGAUUCCAGGCACGGAUGUUUUGACUCUCCCCAGGAAUGCAAGGUUAGGAUAAAUGAGUCAAUCAGAUGCUCUGCAGGUGUAUCCUUGUAGCAAAAUAUUAUAUUUGCUAGAUGCAAUUAUAAUGUGAUUUUUCCAUUUUGAACUCACAGAAUUAUUUUUGCAUUAUCUGGAAGACCACAGAGAUAAGUGUUUUAGCUGAAACAGUUGUUGUUCAAAAUGGUAGUUAUUUGGGUUCGGGUGAUUUAAGCGCUCGCUACUGCAAUAUCAUCAGUGAGAGAAACCAGCAAGGGAAAAUGGUGCUCAAUAUCAUCAGUAUGCGUUAGGCCUCAGACUUGCUUAGUGCAAAAGCUUGCCAAAGAUGCUGCAGUUCACUGAAGGUAUUGUUUACAGCAGUUGCCUCAGACUUGCUUAGUGCGAAAGCUUGUCAAAGAUGCUGCAGUUCACUGCAGGUAUUGUUUACAGCAGUUAACAUGCCGUGCAUCUGCUUGCAGAAAUCAAUUGUUGCCAGCUUCCACCUUGGAGAAUUAGGAGGCAAUGUUGGAUUGUGUUGCAACAAAGUGCUCAAUUUCUGAUGAAUGAAGGUGUAAUUUUUGCACUUUAAUGUUAGAAGGAAAUGCUUAACAUCCAUAUUGAUUUAAUCAUCUUAUUUCUAGAGAGCAAUGAAGAUAAAUGGAUAAUAAGAAUUGAGAUUUAAUGAA